GAACUUGCCUCUUGGACUGGGACAACUGUUGGAAACGACAGCUAAUACCGGAUAUUAUGAGAUUCUCGCAUGAGAAACUUAUGAAAGCUAUAUGCGCCAAGAGAGAGCCUUGCGUUCCAUUAGCUAGUUGGUGGGGUAACGGCCCACCAAGGCGACGAUGGAUAGCCGGCCUGAGAGGGUGAACGGCCACAAGGGGACUGAGACACGGCCCUUACUCCUACGGGAGGCAGCAGUGGGGAAUAUUGGGCAAUGGGCCACAAGCCUGAUCCAGCAAUUCUGUGUGCACGAUGAAGGUCUUCGGAUUGUAAAGUGCUUUCAGUUGGGAAGAAGAAAGUGACGGUACCAACAGAAGAAGCGACGGCUAAAUACGUGCCAGCAGCCGCGGUAAUACGUAUGUCGCAAGCGUUAUCCGGAUUUAUUGGGCGUAAAGCGCGUCUAGGCGGAAAAAUAAGUCUGAUGUUAAAAUGCGGGGCUCAACUCCGUAUUGCGUUGGAAACUGUUUUUCUAGAGUACUGGAGAGGUGGGCGGAACUACAAGUGUAGAGGUGAAAUUCGUAGAUAUUUGUAGGAAUGCCGAUGGAGAAGUCAGCUCACUGGACAGAUACUGACGCUGAAGCGCGAAAGCGUGGGGAGCAAACAGGAUUAGAUACCCUGGUAGUCCACGCCGUAAACGAUGAUCACU
rnacentral:rRNA from 1 species